AUGGUUAUAUACUGCAUGUUUUCCAUGUUAAAUAAAUUAAAGAAAUCCCCAUAUUCUCAAAUUGUCUUCUACAGGUGUUGCAAACUGGACCAGAUUCUCAGAGCAUACAGGGCAGACUUUUACAGAAUGUACACUCUGGAUACAUGUAGAGAGUGCAGGGUGACGUUCAAAAACUGCAUACCAGGCUAUGCAGGAAAUGGGAAAAGAGGGGUGCCGCAGGGCAUCUAUUCUGAGAACUCGCACCGUGGCUUCUGCUCUCACUUCUGCCAGCUCUGUGCAGGGUUUUCCCAAUAAAUGACACUCCACGAACCUGGGAUCGGACUGACACCUUGUCGCCUUCUCCAUCACCACCCACCACCUGGGAUGCACCUUACAACAUCCACACACCAUCCCUCAUGCACACCUUACACUACUGAUUCUACUGAUAUCCACACUCCACACCUUGUUCAUGUUGAGUUCAGUUCAUUGCCUUUUGUUAAUAAAUUACAGUUCUUAAACCGUUCAUGGUGUGUCUCCCACAUUUGUCAUAGCCGAAGAGCCAGGUUAUGAUGGCAGCUGCAGAGUUUUGUUCUUACCCUAGGUAUUUUCCCUGCCUAUAUGUAUCUAGAUGAUGAUUUGUCCCAUUCCCAAAACUGUUCAUCUACAGGUAUUGAAUGAAAAAGGCACAACACCCUGUGUUAUUUUUAAAACAUCGUUUUUACCAUGGAUGUUAUAUCCAGGUUCCAAUCAUAUUGAUCAAAGGACACUCAAAAGCUUGGUAUUGUAAUAGCAGUUAUGAGUUCAUUUUUUUUUUUUAUCUUGUUGUCCCUGUUGUACUACAGUAAAAAAUAUUUUCAUGGAUAAGAUACUUUUUAGUAUUCCUCAUGGUUUGCCCUCUCAAGGGCUGAGUGGAAGUUUAUUGCUUUUAUUACCCCCAUGACGUCCACUUGAAGAUGAAAAGGAGUCAUUGUAU
rnacentral:lncRNA from 1 species